CACGUAGGAGGCGAGCGUUGUCCGGAAUCAUUGGGCGUAAAGAGCGCGCAGGCGGCUUGGCAAGUCGGGUGUGAAAUCCCGGGGCUCAACCCCGUGACUGCAUCCGAUACUGUCAGGCUAGAGGUAGGUAGGGGAGAUCGGAAUUCCUGGUGUAGCAGUGAAAUGCGUAGAUAUCAGGAGGAAUACCGAUGGCGAAGGCAGGUCUCUGGGCUGACACUGACGCUCAUGCACGAAAGCGUGGGGAGCAAACAGG
rnacentral:rRNA from 1 species